UACGUAGGGUGCAGGCGUUUAAUCGGAAUUACUGGGCGUAAAGAGCGCGCAGGCGGUCGUUCAAGUCGCGUGUGAAAGCCCCCCGGCUCAACUGGGGGGGGGUCACGCGAUACUGAUCGACUCGAAGGCAGGAGAGGGAAGUGGAAUUCCCGGUGUAGUGGUGAAAUGCGUAGAUAUCGGGAGGAACACCAGUGGCGAAGGCGACUUCCUGGCCUGUUCUUGACGCUGAGGCGCGAAAGCUAGGGGAGCAAACGGGGAU
rnacentral:rRNA from 1 species